UGAAAAGCUGCGGCCAAGAGAGUGACAUCUAUCAUACUGGCCCAUGUUACCUUGGUUACAACUGUCACAUGGCCACCGUGUCUUUGAAGGGAGGCUGGGCUGGGAGAUGGAGCAUAAUCCUCUGCCCCAAAAAGAGCCCCGCUUCCAGGACGGAUCCCCAGAGGACAGAAGGCCCCUCCUCCGUCUCCAGCAGGGACAACACUGCAAGGUGGGUGCCACCUGGGUCUCCCUGUGGGAUCACCCGAAACUCACUUUUACUGACCUCCUUUACUCCCUCACCAGUUGGUUUCCCUCAAAAGAAUCUCCAUAAUAAAUAUUUGCCCUAAGCCCUCAUCUGGAGGUCUGUUUCUCGGACAACUCAACCUAAAGUGAAAGCAUACAAAGAAAGGGAAAGGGAAGAGGUUAAGUGUAGAGGCAGAAACUCAGUACCAAUGGAAAGAAGAGGCCGUGCAGGGAUCCACAGCAGCAAGGCAGGUGGAAGUCUAGACGUCCUUACAAGACUCCUGGUCCACACUGUUGGGUGCCCUGGGUGUGGAGUUGGGGGAGGGGGCGGGGGGAAGCUCGGUUCCAACAAGCUCAUUAUACAAAAUGUCCCACAGACCCAGAGUGAGAAAGAUCCUUUGGGAAGAGGUUUGGGAUCACAAAUGGGUGUGGGCAAAUUUUGAGCUCCUUUAGUGAAGCUGUCACGACAGCACAGGCAAACAGGAUGGAGACUGUGACCCGAUGUCAGGGAGGGGACCGUCACCUGUAUUUUUCCCAACAGACUUCUAAGGUAAGAGGAUGUUUUAUUGUAUAAAUAUUUAUAUUCCUUUGUGCUUAGCACGUCUUGCAUAUAAAAGCUAUGCGAGACAAGCUGAAUAAUAAGACCUUAAUAGGAAUGGUCACAGCACCUGUUUUUAUGGGGUAACAACUCUUCCCUCCUGUGCCAGGAAACAAUGUGUGUCUAUAGCAGGGGAGAAAGGACACUACGUUCCUUUUCCUGCCUAUUUUUACAAGCACCGAAAUACACCCUCUAAUUGCAAGCCACAGUUCAAUUCUGACAUAUAUAAAUACAAUUGUUUACUAGUAGGUAUGUGUCUAAAAAGAAUAAAAUCUCCCUUUUGUGGAUAUAACA
rnacentral:lncRNA from 1 species